AUUACCUUUGUGCAAGGGACAAAGUCCUGCCAUUGACCUCUGUUUUCUCUCCAUGCGAAUAUGUGUCGUUGAGGAAGGUCAGUCUUCUGAUCUCUACCUCCAGAUAUACUGCAUCCUUAGCAUCACCUUGAAAAAGAAGGAAGAAAUAUGUUCUGUGCACAAGGGAAAUGUUGCAAGCAUUCCAAAGUUCAAUAAUCUCUUUCUGUAGCAUCUUGAACUCCGAGGGCCAGCUGCGAAGACUUUUCAGAUCAUCUUCUAUUGGGUCCAACCCGACAUCUUUGACACGCUUUGAUGGUCUAUCAUGCUCUAGUUCAGCCUCCUUAACCAGUAACAUACAAACACAUAUUAGUCAUAAAUUAAGGAAAUGUAAGUUUUCUUGAUUCUAUUUAAACAGUGGACAUAAACCCAAGGAAUGUAAUCCGACUGUCGAUUACAGGUUUUAUCUAUAUUUUUUCAGGUCACACAAACUUUUCAUUCCAUGAACGAACAUCAACCAUGAAAGAAGGGUGUUCUUCUAAAAAUCUCAGGACUAGAAGAAUCACCCAUCCAAAAAAUGAAGCAUAUAAAUUUCAUCAUCAUGAACAGAUAAGAGAUUGGAGAUAUAUGGGAAGAUGAUUAAGAAGACAGGUAGAGAGAAGAAAAGAUAAUACUCAC
rnacentral:lncRNA from 1 species